rnacentral:rRNA from 1 species
GACGAACGCUGGCGGCGUGCUUAACACAUGCAAGUCGAACGGAAAGGCCCUGCUUUUGUGGGGUGCUCGAGUGGCGAACGGGUGAGUAACACGUGAGUAACCUGCCCUUGACUUUGGGAUAACUUCAGGAAACUGGGGCUAAUACCGGAUAGGAGCUCCUGCUGCAUGGUGGGGGUUGGAAAGUUUCGGCGGUUGGGGAUGGACUCGCGGCUUAUCAGCUUGUUGGUGGGGUAGUGGCUUACCAAGGCUUUGACGGGUAGCCGGCCUGAGAGGGUGACCGGCCACAUGGGGACUGAGAUACGGCCCAGACUCCUACGGGAGGCAGCAGUGGGGAAUAUUGCACAAUGGGCGGAGGCCUGAUGCAGCAACGCCGCGUGCGGGAUGACGGCCUUCGGGUUGUAAACCGCUUUCGCCUGUGACGAAGCGUGAGUGACGGUAAUGGGGAAAGAAGCACCGGCUAACUACGU